GCUCUUCCGCUCUGGAAAAUGCUGGGAGGAGCCACAAGUACAGGGUGAUGCUGGGAGAGACGGCCAACAACCACUUGGAUAUGUUAAUAGGCACCUCAGCCAUUUGUCCCAGGUUUUUG